AGAAAAGAGACAAAAAUAACAGAAAUGAUUACAGCAAGAAAAGAGAAAGGGUGAGGUUUUGUUCUGUUUUUUUUUAAACUGAUGCAACAGUUAAAGAGUUUAUGGAUUUAUACUGUAACAAGGACUGCCAUUAUAAUGUUACUCGAAAGUGGCAUGAAGUGAUAUCAUCUUCCCACAGAUGAGGCCACAGAUCGCUUUAUCGUAAAGGACAAUUAUAAGUCAGAGUCUCCCAACACAACUGUUGAGAUGCCCCGAUGACAGGAUGAGUAAGUAGGAUAUUGAUGAAAUCUUGUAGCCCUUCCUAUCCUUUGGGACAUUUCGGGUGUCUCACCGUUUUGAAUCGGUUCUUGAUGGACAUCAUGAUGUAGCCUCUGUUGUUCUUCUUUAGGUAGAAAAGGUAGAUAGGGGAGACAGCCCAUAGGUAAAUGCAGGGCAGCCAUGAUAAGACAGUGAGCUGGAAACAGACGGGGAGGUCGGGCUGAUCCGUGUGAAGUGUCUGAUUGGCUACC